rnacentral:rRNA from 1 species
AUGGUGGUGGAGUGGGCGCCGCAAGAGCAGGUGCUCCGGCACGCGGCCGUGGCCGGGUUCUGGACGCACGGGGGCUGGAACUCGAUGACGGAGAGCGUUUGCGAGGGGGUGCCGAUGCUGUGUCGCCCGCACUUCGGUGACCAGAUGGGGAACGCCAGGUACGUGGAGCACGUGUGGAGGGUGGGCUUCGAGGUCGCCGGCGUGCUCGAGAGCUGGCGGUGUGGAGGUCGCCAUCCGGCGGCUCGUCAUAGGGUGCGAGGGAGCGGAGAUGCGGGCCAGGGCCAGGGACCUGUCAUCGGGGUGGUUUUGCACAUCCCGCCCACGCCGGACAGGACCACGGCGUCCGCGUCCACGGACGCGCCCGCAGCUGAGGAGGAGGGGGAGGUGCUGCCGGAGAGGAGCUACGUCUCCGGCACCAUCUUUCCCGGCGGCCUCAACUGCGCGACGCGCGCCCACGUGCUCAGCAACUCUGCCGACGGUGCUCGGCCGACCGCCUAUGUCAACAUGUCCUGCAAGAUGCGCGGCUGCGACAUGCCGGCGUUGGCGGCCACCCGCCCUGUGAUCUGCGAGGAGUGCUACAUGGACUGCAUCGCCGCCUCCGGCAACUGCCCAGGCUGCAAGGAGGCCUACUCCGCCGGCAGCGACACCGACGACUCCGUCGACGAGGACGACGACGACGCCAUCUCCUCGUCGGAGGAGAGGGACCAGAUGCCCAUGACAUCCAUGUCCAAGCGCUUCUCCAUGGUGCACUCCAUCAAGAUGCCCAUGCCCAGUAGCAACGGCAAGCCGACCGACUUCGACCACGCCCGGUGGCUCUUCGAGACCAAGGGCACCUACAGCUACGGCAACGCUCUAUGGCCCGAGAACGAGCACGGCGGCGGCGGCAACAGCGCUGGGGCCACCUCCGGAUUCAUCGGCAUCGAGGAGCCGCCCAACUUCGGUGCCCGCUGCUGCCGGCCCCUGACGAGGAAGACCAGCUGGGUCGGCACUUGGCUCGCCGGGGCGACGGAUCACGCGCGCGGCAACCACGCUGGCAUCAUUCAGGCAAUGCAUGCGCCACCGACCUCGGAGCCAGUGCUUGGCGGUGAGCCGGCGGAGUCCGGUGCGCUGAUCGACACGACGGGCGUGGACAUCCGGCUGCCGAUGUUGGUGUAUGUUUCGCGCGAGAAGAGGCCGGGGUAUGACCACAACAAGAAGGCCGGCGCCAUGAACGCGCUGGUCAGGACGAGUGCCAUCAUGUCGAACGGGCCCUUCAUCCUCAACCUGGACUGCGACCACUACGUGCACAACUCGGCGGCACUCCGCGAAGGGAUGUGCUACAUGCUCGACCGCCGCGGCGACCGUGUCUGCUACGUGCAGUUCCCGCAGCGGUUCGAGGGCAUCGACCCCAACGACCGGUACGCCAACCACAACCUCGUCUUCUUCGAUGUCGCCAUGCGCGCCAUGGACAGGCUGCAGGGCCCCAUGUACGUCAGAGGCUGCAUCUUCCGCCGCACCGCUCUGUAUGGGUUCAGCCCGCCGCGCGCCACCAAGCACCACGGCUGGCUCGGCACGAAGAUCAAGCUGUUCCUGCGGAAGCCCACCAUGGGGAAGAAGACGGACAGGGAGCUGGUCAUGGCGAUUUUGCAAAAAUAA